AGUGAACGCUGGCGGUAGGCCUAACACAUGCAAGUCGAACGGCAGCACAGUAAGAGCUUGCUCUUACGGGUGGCGAGUGGCGGACGGGUGAGGAAUACAUCGGAAUCUACUUUUUCGUGGGGGAUAACGUAGGGAAACUUACGCUAAUACCGCAUACGACCUACGGGUGAAAGAAGGGGAUCUUCGGACCUUGCGCGAUUGAAUGAGCCGAUGUCGGAUUAGCUAGUUGGCGGGGUAAAGGCCCACCAAGGCGACGAUCCGUAGCUGGUCUGAGAGGAUGAUCAGCCGCACUGGAACUGAGACACGGUCCAGACUCCUACGGGAGGCAGCAGUGGGGAAUAUUGGACAAUGGGCGCAAGCCUGAUCCAGCCAUACCGCGUGGGUGAAGAAGGCCUUCGGGUUGUAAAGCCCUUUUGUUGGGAAAGAAAAGCAGCAGGUUAAUACCCUGCUGUUCUGACGGUACCCAAAGAAUAAGCACCGGCUAACUUCGUG
rnacentral:rRNA from 1 species